GAGACGCUCGGUUUUACAUGCCUAAUACAUGCAAGUCGAGCGAAUCUUGGAGCUUGCUCCCAUUGGUUAGCGGCGGACGGGUGAGUAACACGUGUGGCAACCUGCCUGUAAGACUGGGAUAACUUCGGGAAACCGGAGCUAAUACCGGAUAAUCUUUUUCAACUCAUGUUGGAAAACUGAAAGUCGGUUUCGGCUGACACUUACAGAUGGGCCCGCGGCGCAUUAGCUAGUUGGUGAGGUAACGGCUCACCAAGGCGACGAUAGCGUAUCCGACCUGAGAGGGUGAUCGGCCACACUGGUGACUGAGACACGGCCCAGACUCCUACGGGAGGCAGCAGUAGGGAAUCUUCCACAAUGGACGAAAGUCUGAUGGAGCAACGCCGCGUGAGCGAUGAAGGCCUUCGGGUCGUAAAGCUCUGUUGUUAGGGAAGAACAAGUACCGGAGUAACUGCCGGUACCUUGUACGGUACCCAACCAGAAAGGCCACGGGUAACUACNGGUGCCAGCAGCCGGCGGGUAAUACGUAGGGUGGNAAGCGUUUGUUCCCGGGAAUUAUUUGGGGCGGUAAAAGCGGCGCGCAGNGGUCCUUUUAGGUCUUUGAUUGUUGAAANGGCCCCACGGGUUCCAACCCGUUGGACGGGGGGUUCCAUUU
rnacentral:rRNA from 1 species